rnacentral:piRNA from 1 species
GUUUUGGGAAAGAGUUCA